UUUUCAGAAUUGACUGAAAGCUGCUGAGAAAGCUCUUCCUUGCUUCUUAGUUCUUAAAAGGGCUUUGACACACUGGCAAGAGUCCAGUGUUUGGAACUUUGGGUUCUAAGCGAGGAGGGAGCGGCUACAUUUACAUGUCCUGGCAAUUCCUCUUUUUGCUACUUUUUGGAGUUGUUCUCUGGAAAAUUUCCUGAUAUUGCCAGGAAGCUGCCACUUUGAAGGAUUUCAUCUCUGAAAGAGAAAGACUAGGAGGUGAGACCUUGGGAGGCCAAGUGCUGUCCGUGGCUGAGCUGGAGAGUACCUGUGUUGAGCGUGUCAUUCAUCUUAAAGUGAUUGACCAUUUAUGGGGAUGGUGAGAAGGAGAAGAGCAUAAAGCAGAUCAAUGGAAAGAAGGCAGAAAAUGGAGAAACAGGAAGAAGGAGACUGAGUUGGGGGAGUACUGGGAGAGCAAUGGAUUUGAGGAAAAGAUGAAGAUGAUAAGAUUAUGUGUGAUGGUGAGUUUUUAAUUAUGUGAUUCUGAGAAGCAUUUUAUUUAUACCAUCUAAUUUAAUUUCCACACUCACUUUAUGAGACAGUGAUUAUGUUUGGGAUUUUAUAGAUGAGCAAAAUGUGCCCAGAGUUCAGUUGCUCAUCCCAAGUCACCCUUUCAGUGAGUUGCUGAGCUGAAGAUCGAAAUAAGGUCUGAAGAGCUAUAAAUCCUGUGCUCUUUGCACAGUGCAGUGCUGCUUUGCUGCCUUGGUGGGCAAGAGGUGUGAGAGAAGUGUUAGCGUAAGGUCACACCCAGGAGAGCCUUUGGGCUGUGACUUUUAUGAAUUGUCCUCUGA
rnacentral:lncRNA from 1 species